AUUGAACGCUGGCGGCAGGCCUAACACAUGCAAGUCGAACGAGUGGCGGACGGGUGAGUAAUGUCUGGGAAACUGCCUGAUGGAGGGGGAUAACGUCCGGAAACGGUAGCUCAUACCGCAUACCAUCGGAUGUGCCCAGAUGGGAUUAGCUAGUAGGUGGGGUAAAGGCUCACCUAGGCGACGAUCCCUAGCUGGUCUGAGAGGAUGACCAGCCAAACGGGAACUGAGACACGGUCCAGACUCCUACGGGAGGCAGCAGUGGGGAAUAUUGCACAAGGGGCGCAAGCCUGCUGCAGCCAUGCCGCGUGUAUGAAGAAGGCCUUCGGGUUGUAAAGUACUUUCAGCGGGGAGGCGUUACCCGCAGAAGAAGCACCGGCUAACUCCGUGCCAGCAGCCGCGGUAAUAC
rnacentral:rRNA from 1 species